AGGACGAACGCUGGCGGCGCGCUUAACACAUGCAAGUCGAACGUGAAGCUGGAGCUUGCUCCGGUGGAAAGUGGCGAACGGGUGCGUAACACGUGAGCAACCUGCCCCGAAGACUGGGAUAACACCGGGAAACCGGUGCUAAUACCGGAUACCUUCUUCCGAUCGCAUGGUUGGAUGAAGAAAUGGAUUCCGCUUCGGGAUGGGCUCGCGGCCUAUCAGCUUGUUGGUGAGGUAACGGCCCACCAAGGCGACGACGGGUAGCUGGUCUGAGAGGACGACCAGCCACACUGGGACUGAGACACGGCCCAGACUCCUACGGGAGGCAGCAGUGGGGAAUCUUGCUCAAUGGGCGAAAGCCUGAAGCAGCGACGCCGCGUGCGGGAUGAAGGCCCUCGGGUUGUAAACCGCUUUCAGCAGGGACGAAUUGACGGUACCUGCAGAAGAAGGCCCGGCCAACUACGUGCCAGCAGUCGCGGUAA
rnacentral:rRNA from 1 species